GUCACUUACUCGUUCUUUCUUUUCCUUCCAGCAUUGUGUUGCUUCGUGGGUCAUUAUUAUAAAUUAUACGCACAUUUCGUAAAGGUUUUGUAUGGCUCGCAGAGCUAUUGCAGGUUUACAUCUAGAAGAGUACCCAAAGCUUUUUAAUUCUUUUUUUUUUUACAACAAAUUUGACACACAAUAAAAUGCUGACGUAGGGGAGUGACGUACGAAGGUAGGUACCGGUCUGGUACAAUCCUCACAGUUUGGCAACCCGAGUAAGGUGAACUCCUCGCAGGCAGUCAGGGCUAGGUACAUGAGCAAAAGUGAUGCCACGUCCAGUGUAAGCAGACUUUAUCGGGGAUAUUUGCUUGCUAUUGUGAGUCCUGUUGUAAUGCCGAAAAUGAAAUGUAAAUGGCAAAAAUAAAAAGGGUGGAGGAUUAAGAAAUUUGCGCAUUAAACUAAAGCCUCCGCAGCUCAAAACCCAUCUUGCAUACUGCCAGUGUGCUGCCCCUGACAAGUCCAUCUGAGAAGUGUUGUGGAAUUGGUGGCAAUGGCUAGAAGCCUUGUGAACGUAGUAGGAUGGAUACGUUUUGCAUUUCGUGCAUCAAAAACAUUAGAAAAACAGCCAAAACUCCCAUUUACGUUAUUGUUUUUGCAGAUAGAACUAUGUAUUUAUUCACUUCGUUUUUGCACUUUCAGAGCUACAGAUGAAACAAACAAAACAAUGUAUAGUGUCUAUAAUGCCAUUUUUAGUGCCUACAGCGAGAUUUUUAGUGCCUUUUUUAGAGGCCUAAAAUAACUUUUCUCAUGCCUAGACAUCCGGGCUCUAGAUGUGAUACAGGCAAAAAUCGGGGUUUAUUAGGCUUGUUUACGUAUCAUAAAUGUAAAAAAAUGCAGCUACAAAAUGAGAAGCGUGCUCUAUAUCUCUGGUGCAUCUUCCCAAGACUGUUCAUAUAUUUCUAGCAUAGAUUGAAGUACUACUUUGCUUACCAUGACGCUGUUACAAGCCUUCACGUAAAAAACAUCAGCAAGAUGUACAGACUUAACUUUUGUUUCCACCUCAGGGUACAGUACAUUCAGUGAUUCAGUGAUUUUCAGAAGUCUCAUUCGCUUCUCGAACAACAGACAAAUAGCGGUACGUCUGGAAACUCGAGUACCCUGUCUCCAACCCCUCAUUACACCACAGGACGAGCUCACUUGUGAACGUAUUCACCGAAUGCGUGGCUAGUGUGUAACUGUAACAGUGACAAAACUCAAUGGUAGCAGGUUCGUUCCCGGUAAUGUACCCCGGAGUGGGAGCUUUCCGGAUAUCUGAACUCCGGAUAAGCGAGGAGACAAGCUUUUCUCACUUCACUGAAGAUAUAACUAUGAAUGCACAUAAUAAAUAAAUGCCUAAUCAACAAAUAGAAAAUUACAUGUACUUCCUAGUAGAUCCACUAAGACUGCAAGAAAAGCUACAGAAUCAAAUCAGCGUUGUACCUCGCCUGCAGGAUUGUGACCCGGCGUGCUCUUUCCUUGUACCGUCGAGCAGCGACACUCUUCAUGUGCUCAGAUUGUACGCGCUCUCUGCGUGCAGCGUGCACCUGUGCAUCUGCUUCUCUGCGCCGUUCUCGCAUCUCCUGUAACAGAAGAGUAAAUGCUUUUGAAAUUUUGUGAGCAUGCAGUACAACAUGGCAUAGAUGCAGGCAAAAGCGGGUGGAUGAACUCAGGUGGUGCCCAUAGCUCAGGCUUCAACAGUGUGGCACAAAAUAGGUUCUGUAUCGGGAGUAAAUUUACAAAAGUGGCUUUUGUUUCCUCAUGUGAUGCAUCACAGGCUCAGCUCAGGAAGUGACACACACUUUGAGUUUACGUGUGUUCCUUAUGCUCUGCUACAGGAACUAAGAGAUUGCAUUUAUACAUCCCUCUGCUUUGUCUGCUACCUAUACAAGUAAAUAUACGAAAGAGAGCUUUUCACAGCAUAGGAAUAUAUCAAGCAGAAUGCUCACAGUGCUUUUGUCUAUUUUUCUUUUUUUAAUGCAUCACCUGCAUGCCAAAGCAAACAGAAGAUCUGAGAACAAUGCAAGAGCUUGCCUAGAAUACUUGGUGGGUUGUGAAAGCAGAGCACGGAUUUACAAAUAUAUACCAAUCAAGUGUCGCAUAUUCCCUCUCAGAAAUGUACUGUAACUACUUUUUAAUAGUUUAACUAUAACUACUAACUACUUUGUCAAAUUGUAGUUUAACUAUAGUGUAACUACAUCACAGCCACACUAGUUAAAACUACUUUGCAACUAAUAUAUGAUGUAGUUGUUUACCUACAUUUGUAACUACUAUGAUAUUUUGUGUGCGUCAUUGUAUCUGUGAUUGCUCAGGCGUAGAAAUAGCAUGUGAGUGUGUCGGGGGGCGAGAAGAGAGUGAACUCCCACACUCGCAACAAUCAUAGCACAGCGUGUGCCCCUCCAUACACUACAGAUAUAGCGAUAUACGUAUGAUGAUAUGCAAUUAUAAAGUCAUGACCUCCAAUUUGACGACUGGGGGGGGGGGGGGGCGUAAGCUUUUUCAAUGUGCUGUGUGUGUCGAUUGUUAUGUACCCUGAUUAACACAAAAGACAUACUUUCUGCUCAUGUGCUGUAUGAAACACUGUAGCGUUUCUAUAUGCAAACUUCAUUCCGUGUCUAACCAGUCUAACUCGACCAAUACUCCGACAGCAAACAGUCCUGUUGCAACACGUUGGAUACUGCCGUGAUACCCCGUCGAAAAUUCUUAAAAGAUGCGAAGUAGUUGCGGCCUGCUGUAAUCUGACUCUGUAGUUAACUACAAAAAAUAAGUGUAACUAGUAGCUAUAACUACCAUUUUUGCAAGUAGUUCAACCUCUAUAUAACGAAUUUGUAAAUGCUGGCUCUUUGUUUCGUUUAAUAGAGAAAUUCGUUAAAUGGAACACUCCAAGUGAAACAAAAAUGGCCACUGCCACUACCUGUGCCGCACUACUGCAAAACAUCAUUUGUCAUAAAACAGGUAUCGAGCUGCGAAGGGCACGAAAUAUCGAGCUUUAUUCAUCUCGCAACGCUAGGUAACACGUAACUUAUGCACAAUAUCGCUGGAGCGUUCGCAACUUCGUAACUAACAAUACAAGUAAACAACACCACAAAACAGCAACACUGUCAUCGGGAUCAACAAAAGCAAAUUAGACUUCGCGAGAGGCCAACAAUGCGAGUUUUCGUGUCCAAAAACAGGUGCAAAGAGGCCCUCACGCCGGUUUCGAAACGACAUCAGCAUACCAAAAAUUACCGGCGACAGCGGCCGCACAUAGCUACAUGCUCCUUUUACCCUUUUACGGCGUGCCUACAGCACAUGACAACCGCAGUGACCAACGAAAACCCGCAUGAGGACAACGGAUAGGGGAAGGUUGCUGCUCCUCCUGUUCGUGAUGAAGGGGAAAAACACAUGCAGAAGGCUUUUGUCGCCUAGGGACUUCAUUAAGUAGAGGUAACCAAACGAACUAUUUAGUUAAAUUAAGCACGAAAAUGCAUUGGAGUCUAUUGGGACGUGUAUGAGUGAUGGAAAUUCUUCGUUAAACAGACGAUUUCGUUGAAUCGACAUUUGUUAUUCAGAGGUUCAACUGUAGUUCCUAACUACUUUUUGACUACCAUGCAGUAGUUUAACUAGUAGUUUAACUACACUGCACAUACCUCACUCUACAGCUUGUAUAUAGUUACGACAUAACGAACUUUGUUUUACAAAAGGUGUAUGCCAUCACUACACACCAUGGAAUUUUGAGUUUAGUCCAUCUGACGUCAGAUUAAGCACAGAGGUCUCAUUGACCAAGUUUUUUUUUUCUAUAAAGAAGCUCAUCAUAUCAGAUGCUAAACAGCGGUAAAACAAAUGAUUUUCACAGGGUAGUUUCUGCAGGAAGAAUCAAUUUCUUCUUGAUUUUUUUUUUUUUUACCAAAGGGUAGGUAAACAAAUAUGGGAUGAAGUGGUUACUACGAACUGGGGCCUAGAACUAGAUGUACUACUGCUCCUAAAUAAUAAUUCUACAUCAUGCAAAGAGCUUGGUACACUGAUAAGAAAACUUGUAUGGAUCAAACAGGUUUUCAGUAUGUCAACCAUAUCGCAUCAAAAAUUCCAAUUCUUCCACUCUGUUAUUGUUGCAUCUUGCUGGUGCCACAGGUGUGGUAAAAGAAAAGACAUUCCUAGGUAAGCUUAAACUGCAAUGUUGCAUUUUAUUCGUCCCUCGCAUUCCAUAUUAUGUCGUAUUCCUCUGGUAAACUAACUUGCCAUGCUGAAGAUGAGUAAUGCAGUAAAUACAACUUCAUGAAGGAUCCCAGAGACCAUGAGUAGAGUUUCUUUUUCAAAAGCCCAGUAAUCUCCUGGUCCCGCUUACAUGAAGGACGAGGAGACUCCUCAGUGCUGUCCUCGGCAGCUUUGGCAGUACUCUACGCACAAGCAGAGUUGAGAACUGUAGUUUAUGCUUGAAGCACUACCAAAGCCACUGGGCACACCACUCAGGAAUCUCCUCAACAUUUGUGCAAGCCGGCCGUGAUGUUCUUGUGUAACACCUGUUAGAAACAGACCUCCAUACCAGCGCACAAGCGUGCCAAAAACUUCCAUCCAAUUAACAUCUGCAUUACUUUCAAGCACAACGGCACUUGGUGCCUGCUGUCACUUGCUCUCAGUCAUAAUGCCAGUUCCUGUCCGUGUAGGCUUUGCUGUACAUCACACUGGGCCUACAGGACCUUCACAACCAGGAAGGGAACAAUAGAUGAAGCAGAAGAAUACAGACUUUAUUUUGCAUGAUGUCAUGCACUACAACCAUUUUCGUGUGGUGGUGCUCUGCUCAGUCUGCAUAGUCUUCAACCGCACUAGAGGGUCAUGUUUUAGAACAGAUGGGUGGUGAAUGACGGGUGCAUGGACAGGAGCAGGGAACUGGAUGGAAGUGUCUGUCCAAGUCAUGGGUCAGCAUUUUCCUAAGAAUUCAUUCAACAUCACAUCAUGGUCCGUUUUCCGCAAAGCCCAUCGCAUCACGUCACCAUCAUAAACCAUGACAUCACAACCCCAUCACUCAACAUCAACUUCAGAACAAAUGAUGUCAUAACUCAUUAUUGAACUUCAACUUCAAAAUUUGUCACAUCAUAACCCAUAAUUCAACUUCAACUUCAGAACUCAUCACAUUACAUCACAUCAUUCAACUUCAGAGCCCAUCAUCGACUUCAACUUCAGAAACUAUCACCGACUUCAGAGCCCAUCAUCGGAAUUCAACUUCAGAGCCCAUUGCGGUUUUGAAGCUGAAUUCCUAUGAUGGGUUCUGAAGUUGGUGCUGGGGUUUUGAAGUUGAACUCCGACGAAGGCCUAUGUUAGGUGUGCCUGGCUGCUUGAUUACAACGCUAGUGUCCUCCUCACUUGUGUUUGCAUGGAUUUUCUGGUAGUGGCGGCGAAAGCGUAAGCGAAGGAGGGGUAUGCUGCUUGAAGGGUGUGGUCAGCCUGCUCUUGGUUGGACUUGGAAGCAGGCUAUACCAAUGAAGGAGGAAAGGGAGGGAUGCCACGUUUGACCUCUUCUGUCGCGUGUGAACGGUGGCGGGAGGUAUGUCGCUUACGUGGUAGGGUUGCUGCACAUUGUUGCGCCCGUUGUUGACAGCUAAGUGAGCGCAUAGCACAUUGCACGUUCAUGUGGCUUCGUACGAGCACCUUGUCUGCCGUGUCAUUUUUCACGCAUGGCGCGUGAGGUAUUAGCUUCGACAUCACAAUACAUCGUGGCCUGUCACUCAGUAUUACAUGAGUUCUUGUGACAUGAUGUGUAUUGACACUGGAAAUAGCCAUCAUGAAUGAAUUCAGCUACGUGUGAUCACCUACGCUGGACAUAUGUUCUUACUCUAGUUCUCUCAUACUGGAUGAUGUGAGCCCAGCAAUUUUAUCCAGGGAGGACAGCGAGCUAAAUUUAUUCCUGAAAGUGCCCCACAGCGCAGAGGACCCCGUCGUAUAUUGAGAAAAGAACUGGGCAGCAUAUCCCCAGCUUUCCAAGGUUGCUGCUGUGUGCUUUGGUGUUCCUGCAUCGUCGGGUUCUGCUGAGUGACCGUUUUCCAUUGCAGGACCACUGCAGAGGACACGCCGUUCAUCUCUAUGCCCAAGGACAACUGAGCACCAUACUAGUUCGAGAGAAUGUGAGGCGCAAAUUGAAGUGAAGACUGCAAGGAGCCCAGAAGACCAGCAAUUUACAUGUGCCAGCUAGCUCUCUUGCCUGCAAGCGGCUACAAGCAAAGCCAGUGGAUGGUACAAACUCAUCCCUUCUCAUCAUCCUGACAUUUUCUGACUUAUGUUGCAGAGAAAAUGAUCCCAUUGAUGAAAGAAAAGGCUUGGGAACUGGCUUUGAAGCUGGGAUACGACCUGCUGAAAGCCGUUCACUACAUACCGUCAUCGUGGGACUCUGUAUCCCAGGAGACCUAGCAUCAGCCACAAAUGUGUUCAUGUAAAUAUCAGGGACACAUAUGUUUCUCAUUUAAACAAAGUGUGCACAUUCUGUUAGAGCCAAUCUCUGCUGUUUAUGAGUAAAGCCCUUAGCUUUCAGCGAUUCCGCUAAACCCCGCGGAAAUGUAGAUUCUUCGCGGAAUACGUGCUUUUGCGCCGAAAUUCGUGGAACAGGCAAUAUCGCGUUCGGUUUUCUAAAUUCUCAUGCAGUUUUCAUCUGUUGGGGAAAUUUUCUUCGUUAACUGUAAAAGCAAAAGUGAAAAGCACAAGAAACAAAGAUGUGGUGCUAACAGUGAGGAGCAUCAGCGUUGCAAAACUUGAGGAAGGAGGGGCCAGGGGCCGUCACGUGGACACGGAGCCAACCAACCACGGUCGCGAAAACUCACCCUGUAGGCGCACGGGCGACUGGCGGCUGCGGGCAACGUCGCAUAACCAUGACUUGCUUGCUGCGUAAUGUCACAUCUGAGUACGAAAACUGCGCGGGGCCCUGCUCGUGAAUAUAAGGCCGUGGGCUUUUAUGAAGAUGGCGGAAUUCUUUUUUGUAAAGCUUGUGCAAAAUCUGUUGAUCAUAAACGAAAAUCAACGCUUUUGCACUACCUAGCUAGCGAGAAGCAUCACAUGAACGCAGACAAGCUGAAACGGGAACAAGUGCAGCAGUCAAGUGAUGAUGCGAACGCAAGGUUACAAACCCUGGAAUCCGUGAUGAAAAGCAAGGAGAAGGCGGACAACCCCAAACUUAGAAGCUUCCUCCACCGACGAGUGACUAACGAUGGCUCCAUACCUCAUUCUGGCACACUUCGCGCUCCCCAGCUAUUCGAAAGACAUGUAGCUGCUCUGAAAAACAUAUUGUGAGGAUCAACUGUCUCUGUAACAGUGGACGAGACCACAGAGGACAGGUCGAGGUCUGUCGUCAAUGUUCUCUUCAUGAAGCCACCGAGCAGCAUGGGCGAACGCCUGAAGCCAAUCCUCGUCGAAGUGCAGUUCGUCGACGAAGUAAACGCGGGUAUCAUCGGCCGCAUCGUAGCCAAGACGGUGACGACAUACGACAUCGAGUUUGAAGAAGUCACGGCUUUCAUAAGCGACAACGCUGCGUACAUGAUCAAGGUGUAGAGACCAUUUACAGUAGAGUUAUCUGGGUGCCGCCAUCUUAGCGCAUGUCACCUUGCGCGACAUUGCUUGCCUUCUCUUUCGGCUGCCUGUUGGCGCGGCGCACGCAGUAUUGCGGUGCAACCCAGAGACGUUUUGCCCGGUUUUCAACUUUUUGCAAUGAAUUCUGGGUGGAAGGAUGACACAAGGUUGGCUGGAGCUUAAACGGUCAGGGAUGUGUGUUAUACACUGGAAGAUAUGGUAGCUGCCUCAAACCGCAACAGUACGGAUGGUACCUUCCGUAUUCUGAAUACUUUGGCCACAUUGCAUACGUGGUUUUCAACUAAAUAUACACUGGAGCAUAGCAAAAUGCCAUGUCAAAACCAGCUCUUGACAACAACACUGAAAGAAUGAUUGAAAAUCAUGCGAACUGGUGGCAAAGAUCCGUAACGAAAAAACUAUAAGCUCUGUGUGCAGGCGAGGUGCCGGCACAAUUGCUGGAGCUAGCGCGCCCCUUGACGGCAAACUGAGCAUCUUGUCAAGCAAAAUUACGGAGAGCAUAGAGAGCGUGGCUACGCACUCUGUGGUGCCAUCGUCGUGUGUGGUCGUCACGGAAUUUCUUCCACUCAAAGGGACUGAAACCUUCCUCAGAUGAAGCAGUACUGAAAAAGGAACCCUUCUUUUCGAGUCUGGUCAUGUU